GAUGAACGCUGGCGGCGUGCCUAAUACAUGCAAGUCGAGCGAACAGACGAGGAGCUUGCUCCUCUGACGUUAGCGGCGGACGGGUGAGUAACACGUGGAUAACCUACCUAUAAGACUGGGAUAACUUCGGGAAACCGGAGCUAAUACCGGAUAAUAUAUUGAACCGCAGGGUUCAAUAGUGAAAGACGGUUUUGCUGUCACUUAUAGAUGGAUCCGCGCCGCAUUAGCUAGUUGGUAAGGUAACGGCUUACCAAGGCAACGAUGCGUAGCCGACCUGAGAGGGUGAUCGGCCACCCUGGAACUGAGACACGGUCCAGACUCCUACGGGAGGCAGCAGUAGGGAAUCUUCCGCAAUGGGCGAAAGCUUGACGGAGCAACGCCGCGUGAGUGAUGAAGGUCUUCGGAUCGUAAAGCUCUGUUAUUAGGGAAGAACAAAUGUGUAAGUAAAUAUGCACGUCUUGACGGUACCUAAUCAGAAAGCAACGGCUAACUACGUG
rnacentral:rRNA from 1 species